CAAGUCGAACGGCAGCAUGAUCUAGCUUGCUAGAUUGAUGGCGAGUGGCGAACGGGUGAGUAAUACAUCGGAACGUGCCCUGUAGUGGGGGAUAACUAGUCGAAAGAUUAGCUAAUACCGCAUACGACCUGAGGGUGAAAGUGGGGGACCGCAAGGCCUCAUGCUAUAGGAGCGGCCGAUGUCUGAUUAGCUAGUUGGUGAGGUAAAGGCUCACCAAGGCGACGAUCAGUAGCUGGUCUGAGAGGACGAUCAGCCACACUGGGACUGAGACACGGCCCAGACUCCUACGGGAGGCAGCAGUGGGGAAUUUUGGACAAUGGGGGCAACCCUGAUCCAGCAAUGCCGCGUGUGUGAAGAAGGCCUUCGGGUUGUAAAGCACUUUUGUCCGGAAAGAAAUCGCACUUACUAAUAUUAGGUGUGGAUGACGGUACCGGAAGAAUAAGGACCGGCUAACUACGUGCCAGCAGCCGCGGUAAUACGUAGGGUCCAAGCGUUAAUCGGAAUU
rnacentral:rRNA from 1 species